rnacentral:lncRNA from 7 species
AGAAUGAUGAUAGCACAGACUCAGAGCAAGAAACAUUGUGAUGAUGACAUAAUAUAUGUCUGAAGUGAUCUAGUGUUUUCACAAAUCACAGGAUGAAGGGAUAGCUUAUCUUCAGAUUUUAGCACUUGCUACGGCAUCAUGAAUUAUGCUGUAUGAUCUUUACUUCCAUUCUGAAAAUUGUCUGCAGUAGCAUAUAUUCAAUUUGAGGGAAAAGCACAUCAAGUAAAUUAGGUUAAAAGAACUCUCAACUGUCUGAAUUUUGUGAUGCUGAUUUAAUAGAAAGCAGCCCAAAGAGAAUGUAGUAAUGACAGGACAGAAAUGUUAUAUGUAAAUAAAUAUAAUGCGUAAACUUACUUCCAAAUUUGUUUUACCAACUGCAUUAGGAUUGAUGUCCCAGUGACUAUAAAUACAGAAUAUCUGGCAAAGGCCUGGCAAACAAGAAGUUUAUCAGAAACCAGGUGAUGGGAAAUCAUGUAAAGUUCAACACAUCUUUUUUGAAUUUUUUUUUUUUUUUUUUUUUUUUAUCUCCUGCUUGGCACAGAUGAGAUUGAUUGCAACGAUGAACACCAUAGGUCUGCCUAGAGGCAGAGGAGUUGGAGCUGGAGGAAGGCCACAUCUGGGACAUUUCUGAGGAGCUUGGGGAAAGAUCAGGAAACUCAAGAGAAAGGAAGGAGCAGAUGGUGCAUAAGAGGUGAUCUGCAGCAGAUUUCAUCUUGGGAACAAGAGAAGAGAGUUGUCCCACAGGGGAGAAGCACAAGAAACCAUUGAAGGUCAGCACCAUGGGUGCAACCACAACUUCCUGAUGCACUGAUUUUGGCAGCUGGCCACCAGGUCCCUGAGAGCAGCUACGGAGGCUGUGGCUUCUCUCCUGUCCUGCUGACUUUGCACAGUAUUUCUAGUUGUAGUUGAUAUUAAUAGGGAAAAAAAAAAAGAAGGGUGAGAAGUUAUGCCCAAGUUCAAGAAUGCAACAUUUUCAUGGACAUGCUGCUUGUUAACAAAAUAAAAUAAAAUAAUAAAAUGGAAUGUCAGAUGUCACCUGCUUGUAGCUCCUAUGGAGCAUUUAAGUUUUGUUGAGUCAGUGUGGUUUUUCCCAUUCUUAGGCUAAGCACCAAGGCAGCUCUUUCUAAGAUAGAUCUUUGAGCUUCUGAAGUAGUGAAUGCCAUUUGAUUAACACAUUCUAUUGUACAAAAUAAAUAAAUAAAUGUACUCUUUGUACAAUUUUAGAGUAAUUUUGUUAGGUACAUUCAGCAGGAGCAGCAGGCUGCAAAUUCAUAACAUUACUGAUACUUUGGAUGACUUUUAGACACUGGCAAGCCAAUACUAGUGUCUUCCCCUUGGGUCUAUAGAUCAGUUUGUUUAAAGAACUGUUAGGCAUAAUAAAAUAUUGCAUUUAUUUCUAAAUAUUUACCUGUAAUUGUUGUAAAUAUCAAGCUUUUUAUUACCAGUAACAAUAAUACUUGUAAUUAAUUAACAAGGUCUAAUUCUUCCUUUGCUAAUACAAUCAGCUUUCCAGAGGAUGAAUCUCUUACACAAUGAUAGCAAAGUGAAAAUUUUCCUUGGAUGGAAAAUAUGAUUUAUAAAU